rnacentral:tRNA from 1 species
UUCAGAAUAGCACAGUGGUAGUGCGCCAGGCUGAUAACCCGGAUGUCGCGGGUUCAAAUCCCGCUUCUGAGUCCC